rnacentral:sRNA from 1 species
CCCGCCCCUCUUCUCCCACCACAAUGAGAUCCUAAGAUGGCGGUGGCUGCGGCGGUUGGCGCUGCGUAGCGGAGGUCGAAAAGGCGGCCACUGGGGCCGAGGCAGCCAGGAAACGUGUGGGCCUCUCUGCUGCGGUCUCCGAGGGCCGACCGCUGCCGGCGGCGGGUCGUGGGGGCUGACUGUCGCUCUGCCUUUGACAGGAGAGGCUGCUUCUUGUAGAGGCCAGAGAUCCUCAGCAGGAGCCUAUGGAAGAGAUAGAAAAUUUGAAGAAACAACAUGAUUUAUUAAAAAGAAUGUUACAACAGCAGGAGCAACUAAGAGCUCUACAGGGACGGCAGGCUGCACUUCUAGCCCUGCAACAUAAAGCAGAGCAAGCUAUUGCAGUGAUGGAUGAUUCUGUUGUUGCAGAAACUGCAGGUAGCUUAUCUGGCGUCAGUAUCACAUCUGAACUAAAUGAAGAAUUGAAUGACUUAAUUCAGCGUUUUCAUAAUCAGCUUCGUGAUUCUCAGCCUCCAGCUGUUCCAGACAAUAGAAGACAGGCAGAAAGUCUUUCAUUAACUAGGGAGGUUUCCCAG